rnacentral:rRNA from 1 species
GUGCAUCUUUAUAUCUCCACUUGUGCACCUUUUGUAGACCUGGAUUCAACUUUCCGAGGAAACUCGGUUGUGAGGAAUUGCUUAAUAGGCUUUCCUUGUUAGUUUCCAGGGCUAUGUUUUCAUAUACACCUUAAGAAUGUAACAGAAUGUCAUUAUUAGGCUUAAUUGCCUUAUAAAACUAUAUACAACUUUCAGCAACGGAUCUCUUGGCUCUCGCAUCGAUGAAGAACGCAGCGAAAUGCGAUAAGUAAUGUGAAUUGCAGAAUUCAGUGAAUCAUCGAAUCUUUGAACGCACCUUGCGCUCCUUGGUAUUCCGAGGAGCAUGCCUGUUUGAGUGUCAUUAAAUUCUCAACCUUUAUUAACUUUUUGGUUAGUAAGUGGAUUGGAAGUGGGGGCAUGUUGGUUCUUCAUUGAAAUAAACUCCCCUGAAAUGCAUUAGCUGGUUGCCUUGUGCGAACAUGUCUAUUGGUGUGAUAAUUAUCUACGCCGUGGGCUAUUUGCCGUUUAUAGCACUGCUUAUA